GGGUGCGAUCAUACCAGCACUAAUGCACCCUAUUCCAUUUGAAGUCUGCAGUGAAGCGUGCUUGGGCGAGAGUAGUACUUAGAUGGGUGACCUCCUGGGAAGUCCUCGUAUUGCACCCU